UCUAAGAGAAGGAAAAACAGAGAGAAAGAAAAAGAGAAAACACAAGUCAACAACAUUACAAACUGUAUCUGAAUAAAACUCUUAAAGAUAAAGAAUUUUUUUUACUGCAAGAGAACAAUAUGUAUAAUUUUGUGCAAUAAAUUAUAAAGUCUGGAAAAAUGGAUGUUUCCUAGGACAAUAUAUACUGUCACAACUGACACACAGAAUUUGGAAUUCAAAAGUUAGUAACAAAUCCAGCUCUAAAGAAAACAGCCCCGGGCACUUUUUCCCAAAUGUCAAAAAUUUGUUUUACAUAAGCUAUUUUAUGGUGCGGAAAAAAGUAGGUAAAUUUUCUGAUGCAUUCGACGUAAGCAGCAUAAAGGCGAGAUCGGAAGAGCACACCUC